CUUCCUUUUUCCUUCAUCUUCUGUUCUCCUCUCUCCUCUACAUCUCCAUUGUUUAUUCUCUCCUCCAGUCUUCUCUCUCUCUCUCUCUAGAAAAUUCGGACGCCAUCUCGCCGGCUCCGUGGAAAUCGACCGCCAUUUCCAUCGUGUCUUCCAUCAUCCUCCUCUCCGUACCUAGUCUGUUCUAUCUCGCCUCCCUUGAUGGAAAAUUCGAACACCAUCUUGUCGGUCUCCAUGGAAAUCGGAAGCAGAAAGGCAGCAAGGAAGUGUAGUUGGGUCUGUUCUGGCUACGAGGGCUAAUUUAAUUGGUUAAUUGACAUUGUUCAAAAGAGAAGAAAUGCAGCCAAGGAGAAGAAGAUGAAGAAAUCUGGUCUUUUAGGGGAAGUGAAUAAGUAGCAGAGCUUGCAGGAAGAGGGAAGUUCUUCAAUUUUGCAACGUGUUUCUUUUUUUUUUUUUGGGUUAAUGAAAAUCAAAAUUUCUGCAAAUUAGAGAUAUGAAAUUACGUUAUCUCCCUCUUAUUUUGUUGAUUUUGUUCUUGAUUCUUCCCUUUCUUAGCUAUUCUAAUUUGUCUGAGGUUUUUUUCCCAGGUUAACGCAGUCCUCAAAGUGAAGACCAAAAUUGAGCAAAAGACUCAACUCCAAGCGUUAUUGUACGAGAAGCGAAUAAGGACUUGGAAUUACUAGUCAGUCAGAUUUUUAAUAGCGAGGAAGAGGCUUACAAUGCAUACAAUUUGUAUGCCUUCAAUAAGGGAUUCAGCAUUCGCAAAGGUAAGAAAUACUACAAUCGCACCGGUGAACUGCGAACUUGCAUUUUUUUGUGUAGCUGUCAAGGGUUUGGACCUGAGGAUUCUUUUGAGCAAGAUCGAAAAUAUGAAAGGACUAUAAAGAGAUGUGGAUGUGGAGCUUACGUGAAAUUCAAAAUUGAGAAUGGAAUAUGGGAAUUGAUUGAGAAUUUCUGUACACAUAAUCACCCAUUUAUUAAUGAUAGUCAAAAAAAUCUAAUGAGAUCGUGUAGGAAGAUAACUGAAACAAGUCAAAGUGUUCUUAGUUCUAUGGCACAAGCGGGUAUUAGAGCUACAAGGGCAUUUUCCUACCUUAAGAAUGAGUCUGGAGGGUCUAAGAACAUUAGUUUCACCUUAAGAGACUGUCAUAAUUUCUUACAAUAAAAAAGAAGAGAGGCAUUUAGUGCAGGAGAUUGUCAAAAUGUCAUGGACCAUUUCAUUAGCUUACAGAAUCAAGGAAAUAAUGUUUAUUACUCAUUGCAAGUGGAUGAUGAGUCUAGAAUAACAAAGCCUUUUCUUUUUAUGUUUUUGCUUUACAUAUGAUCAACUUAUUGUACUCGACUAACCUUUUAAAUAUUUAGAUUAUUCAGCGAAUCACAAUAAUCCCUUGACUCUAGAGCUGCCGAUAAAUGCAACCAUUUCUAUGGAUCCUAUGAGGUCAAGAUACUUGAAUAAGAACAUGCAGUAUAACACCACUGUAAUGCAUGGAAAUAGCCCCCUCGGUAUGAAUUCCGGAAGUCAGGUCUUAGAUGAUAGUAGCAGAGUCCAUCAUUUGAUCACAAUUCCAGAUUUAAAUGAAGACCUCUCUAUCUAAUUAGGCGAUAAUGCAAGGAUGGGCGAGCAAGGAUUCUCUCAUAGUAUAAGGAGAUAAUUGUUUAGAUUUAUAUAUUUCAGGAGAUGGUACUUGGAUGAUAUUUUUUAGGGCAAUAACACCAGUUCUGAAAUUAGUUCUUCCAGACCUUAUUCGAAUCCAAUUAUGUUAUUGAAGGUCAUGGAUAUGUAAUUCGAUCAUAAAAUUUUUCUUUUUAUUUUCUAUAUUAUUACUUAAUAACUA